UACGUAGGGGGCGAGCGUUGUCCGGAAUCAUUGGGCGUAAAGCGCGUGUAGGCGGCCCGGUAAGUCCGCUGUGAAAGUCCAGGGCUCAACCCUGGGAUGCCGGUGGAUACUGUCGGGCUCGAGUCCGGAAGAGGCGAGUGGAAUUCCUAGUGUAGAGGUGAAAUUCGUAGAUAUUAGGAAGAACACCAGUGGCGAAGGCGGCUCACUGGCCCGGUACUGACGCUGAGGCGCGAAAGCGUGGGGAGCAAACAGG
rnacentral:rRNA from 1 species